GGAGCUCUCCCAUAUGGUCGACCUGCAGGCGGCCGCGAAUUCACUAGUGAUUGUUUGAUCCUGGCUCAGGAUGAACGCUAGCGACAGGCCUAACACAUGCAAGUCGAGGGGUAUAAGUAGCUUGCUACUUAGAGACCGGCGCACGGGUGAGUAACGCGUAUGCAACCUACCUUUUACUGGGGGAUAGCCCAAAGAAAUUUGGAUUAAUACCGCAUAAUAUAUUUGAAUCGCAUGGUUUAAAUAUUAAAACUUCGGUGGUAAAAGAUGGGCAUGCGUAGCAUUAGUUUGUUGGUGAGGUAACGGCUCACCAAGACUAUGAUGCUUAGGGGGUCUGAGAGGAUAGUCCCCCACACUGGUACUGAGACACGGACCAGACUCCUACGGGAGGCAGCAGUGAGGAAUAUUGGUCAAUGGGCGCAAGCCUGAACCAGCCAUGUCGCGUGCAGGAUGACGGCCCUAUGGGUUGUAAACUGCUUUUUUACAGGAAUAAACUUUGUUACGUGUAGCAAACUGAAGGUACUGUAAGAAUAAGGAUCGGCUAACUCCGUGCCAGCAGCCGCGGUAAUACGGAGGAUCCAAGCGUUAUCCGGAUUUAUUGGGUUUAAAGGGUCCGUAGGCGGGCUUUUAAGUCAGUGGUGAAAUCCCAGAGCUCAACUCUGGAACUGCCAUUGAUACUGAAGGUCUUGAAUUUAGUUGAGGUGGGCGGAAUACGUUAUGUAGCGGUGAAAUGCAUAGAUAUAACGUAGAACACCGAUUGCGAAGGCAGCUCACUAAGCUAACAUUGACGCUGAUGGACGAAAGCGUGGGGAGCGAACAGGAUUAGAUACCCUGGUAGUCCACGCCGUAAACGAUGAUUACUCGUUGUGCACGAUACACUGUGCGUGACUGAGCGAAAGCAUUAAGUAAUCCACCUGGGGAGUACGUU
rnacentral:rRNA from 1 species